rnacentral:rRNA from 1 species
CCUACGGGUGGCAGCAGUGAGGAAUAUUGGUCAAUGGGCGGGAGCCUGAACCAGCCAAGUCGCGUGAGGGAAGACGGUCCUAUGGAUUGUAAACCUCUUUAGGCGGGGAGCAAUGCCGGGCACGCGUGCCCGGCGGGAGAGUACCCGCAGACUAAGCAUCGGCUAACUCCGUGCCAGCAGCCGCGGUAAUACGGAGGAUGCGAGCGUUAUCCGGCUUUAUGGGGGUUAAAGGGUGCGUAGGCGGAUUUUUAAGUCGGCGGUAAAAUGUCCGGGCUCAACCCGGGCCGGCCGUUGAAACUGGGGAUCUUGAGUGGGCGAGAAGUAGGCGGAAUGCGUGGUGUAGCGGUGAAAUGCAUAGAUAUCACGCAGAACUCCGAUUGCGAUGGCAGCAUACCGGAGCCCGACUGACGCUGAGGCACGAAAGCGUGGGGAUCGAACAGGAUUAGAUACCCGAGUAGUC